AUGAAUAUUGCCCUCCUCUCCCGUUGGCUCUGGCGUAUUUCGCAAGGGCACGGUGGCCUCUGGUUAGACAUCAUCCGGAACAAGCAUCUGUGCGGACAACCCCUGGCCUUCUGUCAACGGUCCGGGGGCUCCCAGUUUUGGCAGUCGGUCAUCUAACUGCUCCCCGUCCUCCGCAUUGGAAGCUCCAUCGGUGUCGGAUUGGGUGCCGCGACGUUGUUCUGGUUUGACCGUUGGGCGGGAGACUCCUCCUUCGCGACUUGCUUCCCCGACCUCUUCUCCAUCGCCGUCGUCCCCCUGAUCUCAGUUGAGAGGGCCCUUAUUGACCUAGGGCGCCUUGCUUUCCGAAGGCCAUUUGGGCCUCCGGAAGCCGCCGCUUGGCAGGAGCUGCUUGAUUGCGUAGCUCUCCACGAGCCGAUAGUGGACGCUGGCCCGGAUGAGAUGCGGUGGCGUCUUGAGCCUUCGGGUCAAUUCUCCACCAAGUCCCUCUACCGGGCCAUUGCCCCCUCCUCCGCCCCUCCGCCCCUUGCGGCACUGUGGUCCAUCCGCCUACCACUGAAAAUCCGGAUAUUCAUGUGGCAAUGGAUUCACGGACGGCUUCCAUCUGGGGUGGAGGUACGCAAACGAAAUGCUGCCCGGGCUCCGGCAUCUGCCUGCUGUGUGGCACCCCAGAAGACUCGAAUCACAUCUUCUUUUCCUGCAUGUCUGCCCAAUUUGUGUGGAGCUGUUUUCGAGAGAGGUGUUUGGUGCCACACCAACUUUCCCGACCUCUACGCCGAGUUCCUGACCUCCCCCCCUCCCCCCGCCCUCUCGUCACAUUAG
rnacentral:rRNA from 1 species